CUGAGGCAGUGGGGGUGGGGCGGGGCACGUGGAACUGGGGGCCCAGGCCCUCUCCAAUUUCCACCGGCCUCCCCCUGCCCGCCCUACAGAACGCAUUCCAUGCUGUGCACUCCUCCCUGCAGCAUCAGUCUGCCCCUCAGAGGUGCCGUGCCUUGGGGCAGGGAAGGACCCGGAGACAGCGCUGUUGAGCCCAGGGCAUACCAGCUCAGUGUCCUCUGCCCCGUCUCCACAGCAGUGCGCGGGAGAAAUGCCAUGUCCACGGAGAGAUAAGGAAGCAGACGCAGAGAGGAAGCUGGAGCCGCCCCCUGAGGUGCUCAAUUCACAGGCACGACGGACUGUGAUACCUCUGGGGGAAUGAAAUUGGAGUGGUUUGGCUGUGGCCUCAGGUUUUGGGCAGGAAAGAGCAGGGCAGAUCUCGGCGACUGCUUCCGUCCGGCGGAACCGAAGUCACUUCCCAGCACCUCGCUGUAAAUGAGUCUUGGAAUGCAGGCCUAGAUCGCCAGGUGUGCAGCACUGGCAGGCACACCAGUGGAAGGGCUGUGAGGCCCAGACCUUUGCUUGCUCCAGUCCCCUCUCCUUUUUGUACCCGAGGUCCACUUGGAAACGCAGGUCAGCCCCCUGAGGCCGUGGCGGAGGUUGCUCCUGCCCAUCACGGCCCCGCUGCCUCCUCCCUGGGCUGAGGACCAAGAGGAAGAAGCAGGGCCCGAGAAGCAGAAGAUGGCUGUGUGGCACGCGCCCAGCCCAGACCCACACCUUGCGCCCAGGAGGCCAGGGCAGCCCCGCGUCCUCCGACACGUGCCACCGUUCUGACUGCGCACGCCACUCACCGGGAGCACGGCCCGCGUGUGAGCGACGCGUUCAUUAAUGAACCAGCCGCUCGCCGAGAGGCGAUGGCGUAAUUGCUGUUCGCGGCGGAUGAAUGCUAAUUGAAUAUUAAGAACGUAUUUGUGCAGAAGGAGUCACUUAGGAGCGAGCCGUGCCCUUUGUCAGCCAGAUGUUUGGGCUCGCUAUGGAGGCUGAGUCAUCGGCUGGAAGCCCCUGGCAUUUGGGCGCUGCUGCUCCUCUGGGAAGGGAGGCAGGCAGCCCGGGCAGGUCUGGCUCCCGGCAGGGAGCGGGGACAUCGCCACACACAGGCCCGGGAGAGAACUGCGUCAGCAGGUGACAGACAUGCAUGAGCUUUGACUGGGGCAGUUCUGGAUUGAAAACCCUUCUUUACAACCCUCCCAGCAGCAGGUUCAGUCCUGCCAGCGAGGCAGGCAGGAGGGCCUGUCAACGCCAUCUGCAGGUGGGGAAACUGAGGCUCCGUGGGCGGAGGCGAUGCGCUCAGGAUGCCAAGCCACCGAGUCCUAGUCUCCGAGCUUCCAGCACAGCCUCACCCCCUGUGGCAGGCCGCUCAGGCCUGGGCUCGGACCCCUGGGCAGCCGAGGGGCGACGGCCACCUCCCCUGGGCCUCUGCAGUCCCUGAGCUGGGGGCUGACUGGCCCCAGGUCCCGGGCCUCCCCAGGGCUCCAGCUCUCCUGACGGCUCUGCCCGCCAAGGCAGGGAAGUAAGGCACGCAGGCUCUGGGCACAGGAUUCUUGGAUUCAGAGCUCAUCUUAAGCUCUUAGGCGCUGAGAAAUCUGGGGCAAAUCUCUUAGGUGCUUUGUUCUCUGUGCCUCAGUUCCCAUGCCAAUCAAAUGGAGCUACUAAUAGGCCUGCCCUCGUUAGCAAGGGCAGCGGGCACCCGAGUGUCUGAUACAUACAUUUGCAGCGGCUCCCCCUCCCCCGCCCAGGCCAGCGACACAGAAACGCAGCACGCGUGCUGCUUGGUGGGGAGGACGUGGGACAACCUGCCCAGCGGCACCCAGAGCCCAGCGACAGGGCUGGGAGGAGAGCAAGCGGGUCCCCCCUCCGCAAGAGCAGGCAGUACUGCCCAUAGCCCACAGCCCACAGCCAGCAGCCCCUGGGGAAGGGCUGAAAGACCGAGGGGACGCGCAGACAGGAGGCCGGAGGCAGCGCCUGCAGAGCCGAUGAGGCCGGGCCUGGAGGCCGCAGGGGCUGGAGGAGCCGCCCUCCCGCUGCCCCAGUCCGGCCUCCUAGCCACUGGCCUCGGGAGCUCCAGGCCCCAACCGUGCGGACUGGUCAUCUGGGCUCCCCGAGGCAGGAGGCAGGCCCUGCGACAAGCGCUCAGAUCCCACAGAUCAGCUCUAAUUGGGAAGCGAUCUCAGGGAGUGAGACUCCGUCCCUCCCGUCACGUUCCAGGUGCCCCCAGCAGGCCCGCAGCCCAGGAGGCACCCCAGAGCUGGCACAGCCCCUGCACCCGGUGGGACAGCUGAGUGAUUGGAGGUGAUGUCCUACGGGCCCCUCUGUAGGCACCUCAGAGGGGCUCUAUUUGAGGCCUGUGCAGCCUGGGGCGCGGGUCGGGCAGCCAGUGGUGCUCGGUGCUCAGGCCAGACUGCCUGAGGCGGCCCCUGCGGUGUGUUGGGCCAGGUCCCAGCCCUGCAGCCUCCUCACCUCAGGCCCUGUCUCAGGCCCAGCUCACACCAGCUAAGCUCUCCUGGGAAGCCAAUGCCAUCAGAAGUGCCCCAGGAAGCCACUCGCCCCGGGCGACAGACGGGCCUAUUUAUAGGAGGAACGUGCGCCCUGUCAGCCUCCAGCUCCACCUGCCUUCUGCUCCCCGCGCCCGCCCGCGCCUGCUGCUGCCGCCUAUAUCAGGAGCCUGGCAGAUGGAAGGAGCGCCCCUCCCCACGACCAGGGCUCUGAGAGUGCCAGGGCGGCAGAGCCACCUUCCUGGGCUGCCUGCACCUGCCUCAGAGCCUACGGGGGACUCAGUUCCGCUCUGAUUCUGGGGAUCAAACCAGGAAACCCACAGAGAGGGGUGCAGAGGCAGGGAGCAAGGAAAGGGAGGAAGGAACAAAGUAUAGGCAGGGGUGAGGGACUAAGGAGCAGGGAGGAGAGGUAAGGGCUGAAAGGGAGACGUAGAGAGCAGAAGAAAGAGGCGUCAGGGGUCUCAGUGGCCCACAGUGAGUCUUGCCAAAUAGGAAAGGUGCCCUCUGUGGGUUGAUGAAUUAGAAAAAGGUUUUAGUCCAGUGUGUCUCUCUGUGAAGAAAGACAGCCUUCUUCCCAGAGGAACUGGCCCCAUGCCAGGUCACCCAGCGUGGGGAGCAGGGCGUGGGCCCGAGUGCAGCCUCUCAUGACCUGAACAGCUGUACCUGGCAGCCUGCUCCUGAGCUCCUGGCAAGUGGGGGGCUGAGGGAGGCAGGCCUGAGCUGAGAGGGGGGCUGCUGUAGGUGGACCCCAGUGCUCUGCCCGCCAGCACCAGGUCUGACCACCCCAGAGCAAUCCAUUUCACUGUGUUAGAAGCUGAUAAGCCGUUCUUGCCACCUCCCAGCUGAGGCUCCUCAUCUCUCCCAGGCUCUCCAGGGAGACCCCGGCUCAUUAGGCAAUCACACGGCGUGUUGCCCGGCCAGGCAGAGAGCAGCCGGAGAGGACCCAUGACAAGCUCCAGCCUGGUCUCCCUGGGGGGUGACGUCUAGACCUCUGGCCCCCACUUGCGGCAUCAGUGGCUGCUGCCUGUCCCAGAAGCCCUGGAGGCAGGAGGAGCCUCUGGGUCAGCAUUCCAAGCCCAGCUGGGCCCUCCCCUGCCCCUUAUCUUCAUACACCUGCACCGUCCUGGCUGCUGGGGCGGGG